ensembl:snoRNA
ACGCACAUUUCAUUGACCUGCUUUCAUUAUAAGUGAUGAGCAGUGUUAUUUCUGGUGUGCUAAAGAACUAAGUUGAAGGCUAAUUAGCAGCAUAGCUGUGUGUAGCUACUGCUGCCAGUCUCCUUCAUACAAAG